rnacentral:rRNA from 1 species
UACGGAGGGUGCAAGCGUUGUUCGGAAUCAUUGGGCGUAAAGGGCGCGUAGGCGGUCCGGUAAGUCGGGUGUGAAAGCCCCGGGCUCAACCCGGGAAGUGCAUUCGAAACUGCCGGACUUGAGUACGGGAGGGGGAAGUGGAAUUCCUGGUGUAGGGGUGAAAUCCGUAGAGAUCAGGAGGAACACCGGUGGCGAAGGCGACUUCCUGGACCGAUACUGACGAUGAGGCGCGAAAGAGUGGGGAGCAAACAGG